rnacentral:tRNA from 1 species
GGGGAUUUAGCUCAGUGGUAGAGCGCUUGCCUAGCAAGCGAAAGGCCCUGGGUUCGGACCCCAACUCCG